rnacentral:rRNA from 1 species
AACGAACGCUGGCGGCAUGCCUAACACAUGCAAGUCGAACGAGACCUUCGGGUCUAGUGGCGCACGGGUGCGUAACGCGCGGGAACCUGCCCUUAGGUUCGGAAUAACUCCCCGAAAGGGGUGCUAAUACCGGAUAAUGUCUUCGGACCAAAGAUUUAUCGCCUUUGGAUGGGCCCGCGUUGGAUUAGCUAGUUGGUAGGGUAAAAGCCUACCAAGGCGACGAUCCAUAGCUGGUCUGAGAGGAUGAUCAGCCACACUGGGACUGAGACACGGCCCAGACUCCUACGGGAAGCAGCAGUGGGGAAUAUUGGACAAUGGGCGAAAGCCUGAUCCAGCAAUGCCGCGUGAGUGAUGAAGGCCUUAGGGUUGUAAAGCUCUUUUACCCGGGAUGAUAAUGACAGUACCGGGAGAAUAAGCUCCGGCUAACUCCGUG